GAUGAAGAACGUAGCGAAAUGCGAUACGUAAUGUGAAUUGCAGAAUUCAGUGAAUCAUCGAAUCUUUGAACGCAUAUUGCGCUCUCUGGUAUUCCGGAGAGCAUGCUUGUUUGAGUAUCAGUAAACACCUCAACUUCCAUAUCUUUUUUGAAAUGGGAGUUGGACUUGAGUGAUCCCAACGCUUUUCCUCACCGAAAAGUGGCGGGUUACUUGAAAUGCAGGUGCAGCUGGACUUUUCUCUGAGCUAUAAGCAUAUCUAUUUAGUCUGCCUAAAAAACAGAUUAUUACCUUUGCUGCAGCUAACAUAAAGGAGAUUAGUUCUUGUGCUGACUGAUGCAGGAUUCACAAAGACGGCUUCGGCCGACUUUGUAAACUCGAUCUCAAAUCAAGUAAGACUACCGGCUGAACUUAAGCAUAUCAAUAAGCGGAGGA
rnacentral:misc_RNA from 1 species